UCAUCCUGGAAUUAGGGUGGGCCCUAAAUCCAACGACCGGACCGGGGUCCUUAGAAGAGAAAGGGGAAGGAGUGGAGAACGAGACACAGAGGGAACCACAUGAAGACGGAGGCAGAAGGGGAGUGAAUGCCGCGUCUUACAGGCCCAGGAACACGCAGGGUGGCCAGCAACCACCAGAAGUUAGGGGAGAGGCAUGGAGCGAAUUUUCUCUCAAAGCUCCAGAAGGAACCAACCUUGCUGACAUCUUGAUUUCUGACUUCUGGUCUCCAGAACUGUGAGAGCAUAAAGCCAUCCAGUGUGCUGGUUUAUGACCACAGCCCUAGAAACUAACAUGGCUUCAUAUGGUGAUCGUAGGUGUUGGAAAAGGACCUCCUGGUUGAGUAAGUUUUGGGACCUGUGAUAAACUAUAGCCUUCUUUGCUGAGGAACCGCUCAGAGCGCUUUGAGAGGCUAUGGAGCUUUAGGAAUUUCCAAGGCGGGUGGGAAUCAGUAUGGAACACUCACUUCCCAAGCAUAACUAAUCAAGAAACUCUCAUGUCUUAGCUCGGGCUGCCAUAACAGAACAUCACAGACUGAGUGAACACUUCCGGAGGCUGCAAAUCCACGAUCAAGGUGUCGGCUGGGUUGCUUUCUGGCUCAACCCUGUAACCCUGUGCAAGUAUCCAAGUCCUCCACCCUCCAGGCAUGGGGGCCAGCCUUCUGGAUAGCUAGAUGCCACGGCUCUACUGUGGAUCACCGAGAGACAUGAUGGGUCAGCCCAGGGCACUGUGGGAAGGCAGGAAGCGGCCCUGACCUGAAUGCGGAUGAGCUUAGGAGCUGAGGAAUCAUUUAUUCACUCAAUAUGUAUCGGGCGCUGCCUCCUAUGACCCGGUGUGGGGAAGGCACAAGAGAAUGAGAUGGUGUGGCACAUUCUUCUGGAACUUUCAGACACAGACAAUAAGCACGAAAACAAACAAAAUCAUUCCAGACUGUGGACAGAUGCUCAUGCCCCCUGAAAGGUGGACUCUUUGUUUGUGAUGCCCCACAACACAGCACCUCUCAGGCUUACCUUCCUCUAAAGACUUGCCUUCUGGACAUUUCGUAUGAGUGGAGUCACAGAACAUGUGGAUUUUUGUGACUGGCUUCUUUCACUUUCCAAGGCUCAUUCAAGCUAUAGGAUGUAUCUCUACUUCAUUCCGUUGCACGGCCAAAUGAUAUUCCCUUGUAUGAAUGUAUCACAUUUUAUUUUUCCAUGUGUCCAUUGAUGGACAUUUGGGUUGUUUCCACCUUUUGACUAUCCUGAAUACAUCCUGCCGUAAACAUUCAUGCACAAGUUUUUCUGUGGACAUAUGUUUUCAUUUCUUUUGGGUGUAUACGUAGGGGUGGAAUUGCUGGGUUAUACGGUACCUCUCUGUUUAAUCAUUUGAGGAACCAGCAAACUGUUUUCCAAAGUCACUACACCAUUUUCCAUUCCUACAGGGCUGUAUGAGAAUAUAGUUAGCUAUUAAUGCACAACAAAUCACUCCAAAACUUAGCAGGUUAAAACAAUAAACAUUUGGGGUGCCUGGGUGGCUCAGUCCAUUAAGUGUCCAACUUCAGCUCAGGU